GUUCAAAUAGCUUAAUAAUUAGAGUAUAGCAUUGAAGUUGCUGGGGAGGUCAGUUAUGGAUCUUUGGACA
rnacentral:tRNA from 1 species